rnacentral:tRNA from 1 species
GCGGUUGUAGCUCAGUAGGAUAGAGCAACUGCCUUCUAAGCAGUGGGUCGGGGGUUCGAAUCCCUCCAACCGUGCCA